AUUGCUUUGACAGAAAUUUAAUGUAAUAAAUUUAGGAUUUAUAUAUGUGAUAUAUAUCACAAGCAAUA
rnacentral:tRNA from 1 species